UACGUAGGGGGCAAGCGUUGUCCGGAUUUACUGGGCGUAAAGAGCGCGUAGGCGGAAGCUUAAGUGUGGCCUGAAAGCCCCCGGCUCAACCGGGGAAGGUGGCUGCAAACUGGGCUUCUUGAGGGCGAUAGAGGAGGGUGGAAUUCCUGGUGUAGCGGUGAAAUGCGUAGAUAUCAGGAGGAACACCGGUGGCGAAGGCGGCCCUCUGGGUCGACCCUGACGCUGAGGCGCGAAAGCGUGGGGAGCGAACGGG
rnacentral:rRNA from 1 species